rnacentral:rRNA from 1 species
AUGUCGCUAGCAUGUGCCCUCGCCGGCGGCCCAGCCGCGUUCAAGGACGUCUUCGUCGACAGCCGCCACGACCCGCCGUUGCCCCUGCCGAAGAAAGACCACAGCGGUGGCGACGGCGACGGCGACGCCCUCACGAGCAACCCGAUGACGGGGCAGCGCCUGUACCAGGGCACCUGGGUGAUGGAAGGGUGGAUCCCGGGGAUCGUCCAGAUUCAAAACGGCGGCGGCUUCACGCCACGUCGUGGCGAUGUCAUCCUCGCCAGCCCGCCCAAGUGUGGCACCACGUGGCUCAAGGCGCUCGCCUUCGCCACCAUGGCACGCGGGGCGCACCCGCCCGCCGCCCCCGACCACCCGCUCCUCCGCCACACGCCGCACGACUGCGUCCCGUUCAUGGAGGUGAUCGUGUCCGGCGGGUGGGGGAGCAAGCUGGACGCGCUGCCGUCGCCGAGGCUCUUGUCCACGCACAUGCCCUACUCUACUCUGCCCGCCUCCAUCACCAAGAAUCCAGACUGCAAGAUCGUCUACAUCUGCAGGGACCCAAAGGACAUGGUAGUCUCAAUGUGGCACUUCCUUAGGCAUCCUCGGCCAAACCUGUCAUUCAACGACAUGUUCGAGCUCACCUGCGAGGGCAGAUCUCUAUGCGGCCCAUUCUGGGACCACAUCCUCGGGUACUGGAACGCCGGCAAAACCAUGAGUGGCGACGAGGGCCAACCAGAGAUGACCUCGGCAGCGGUCCUUUUCCUCAGGUACGAGGAAAUGAUAAAAGACCCAGCCAACAAUGUACGAAAGCUGGCGCGGUUCGUUGGGCAACCAUUCUCCGCUGCCGAGGAGGAAACCAAGGUUGUGGACGACAUUGUGGAUCUGUGCAGCUUUGAGAAGCUGAGCAGCCUCAAGGUGAACAAGGCGGGCCCUGUGGUGUUCACCAAGUAUCCUCGUGAAUCUUACUUCAGGAGAGGGGGUGUAGGAGACUGGAUGAACCAUAUGACACCUGAAAUGGCGCAUCGUUUUGACGCCCUUUUGCAAAGCAAGUUCCACGGAUCGGGCCUAGAUCUCCUGUGA